AUGUGGAGCGACCAUCACAAGCUGGCAGAUACACUUCCAGGGGACUUUAGUAAAUUCCUGGUGCAGUCCUACCAGCCAGAGACCUCUGAAAUGGUGUUCCCAGGCAGGGGAAGUAUCUGUGUCGAUGCUGACAGUGUUCAAAGGAUCCUGUACCUUGACGCGCUCAUUCAUGACAUUCCAGUAAGAAACUGUGCAAUACGAUCGAAUGCAUGGGAUAGUAACCUAAUUGCCAAGGUGAUCAAGAAGGACACAAUCUCUCGUGGUGUGUCUAGCAAAUUACAACUUAAAGAGGAGUAUAGGGGCACGGAGCAGACACCACUGUUUGGUGGUCUUUUGCAAGCUCAAGCAUUCGUUGCAUCCAAAUUAUCACUAAUGUACAAUCCACAGAAAAAGGCAAAGAUUGCCAAAGUGGUCAAUGACUUGUGCAAGGCAGUAACUGAACAGGUUGGCACCUUCAUUGAAGUAGUUGCCAAGAUCGAUGAUGAGGAACUGGAUGUUGAUCCAUAUGUACAACAGACAUCAACGGGAACCGCUUCGUCAUGCCGUGCUCCAAAGAGGAAGAGAUAG
rnacentral:rRNA from 1 species